GUGGGGAAUAUUGGACAAUGGGGGGAACCCUGAUCCAGCCAUGCCGCGUGUGUGAAGAAGGCCUUUUGGUUGUAAAGCACUUUAAGCGAGGAGGAGGCUACCGAGAUUAAUACUCUUGGAUAGUGGACGUUACUCGCAGAAUAAGCACCGGCUAACUCUGUGCCAGCAGCCGCGGUAAUACAGAGGGUGCAAGCGUUAAUCGGAUUUACUGGGCGUAAAGCGCGCGUAGGUGGCCAAUUAAGUCAAAUGUGAAAUCCACGAGCUUAACUUGGGAAUUGCAUUCGAUACUGGUUGGCUAGAGGAUGGGAGAGGAUGGUAGAAUUCCAGGUGUAGCGGUGAAAUGCGUAGAGAUCUGGAGGAAUACCGAUGGCGAAGGCAGCCAUCUGGCCUAAUACUGACACUGAGGUGCGAAAGCAUGGGGAGCAAACAGGAUUAGAUACCCUUGUAGUCC
rnacentral:rRNA from 1 species